AGGACGAUACUUUGUGCUUAUGUGCUCAAGUGUCACCGAAAUCUGUUCUGGAUUUUAGGGAUGGCUGCUUCGACUUUGCCUGUCAAGGACAACCCGGGCUGAGUGAGAUUUUCGAUAAGAUAAUAUUAUCAUCUUAUGCCAUACGUAAAGCUUUCCUGUAUUGAAUAUAUUUAACGAUAUGAAAGUUAUGAAGUGGAAUAUCAUAAUAAAUAGUUUUUUUAUAAACUCUC